rnacentral:misc_RNA from 1 species
GUCAUUUCGUUCACAAAGAGAUCCACCCAUUCUGCCCCAUUUGUGGGAAGAUUCUCAGAAGCUGUUGCAUCCUCAGUAAUUGCAGCUUCUCCUUGUGUUUCUUGGGAUUGAGGUUGAAUAUUUGCUUCCAAAGCUACAUCGGAGGAGUUUGAAGCAUUUCCCAAGUUUCUGUCAUUAUACCCUAAAUGAAGCUGGUUCAAGCUUCUGAUGGCUAAAUCUAGAUCA